rnacentral:rRNA from 1 species
CCUACGGGUGGCAGCAGUGGGGAAUCUUGCGCAAUGGGCGAAAGCCUGACGCAGCGACGCCGCGUGGGUGACGACGUUCUUCGGAAUGUAAAACCCUGUCAGGAGGGACAAUUAUGAUGGUACCUCCAAAGGAAGCCCCGGCUAACUACGUGCCAGCAGCCGCGGUAAUACGUAGGGGGCGAGCGUUAUCCGGAUUUACUGGGCAUAAAGCGCGUGUAGGCGGUAAUUUAAGUCAGAUGUUAAAUCCCUCGGCUCAACCGAGGUCCGCAUUUGAUACUGGAUUGCUAGAGGUCAGGAGAGGAAAGCGGAACUCACGGUGUAGCGGUGAAAUGCGUAGAUAUCGUGAGGAACAUCAGUUGCGAAGGCGGCUUUCUGGACUGAUUCUGACGCUGAGACGCGAAAGCGUGGGGAGCAAACGGGAUUAGAUACCCUUGUAGUC